CAUGGAAGAGGGAUUAAAAGUUUCCCUUGCUUUAUGUUGUAUGUGCAUUUCUGGAAAAUGGCAUAUAACUUGAAUUCGCAUAAAGAGAACCCAGUUUACAAUGUAAUAAAUAGGGAUAUAUUCCAAGACCU